rnacentral:rRNA from 1 species
GACGAACGCUGGCGGCGUGCUUAACACAUGCAAGUCGAGGGGUAGAGGAAGCUUGCUUCCUUGAGACCGGCGCACGGGUGCGUAACGUGUAUGCAAUCUACCUUAUACAGAGGGAUAGCCCAGAGAAAUUUGGAUUAAUACCUCAUAGUAUUAUGAAAUCGCAUGGUUUUAUAAUUAAAGUUCCAACGGUAUAAGAUGAGCAUGCGUCCCAUUAGUUAGUUGGUAAGGUAACGGCUUACCAAGACGAUGAUGGGUAGGGGUCCUGAGAGGGAGAUCCCACAAACUGGUACUGAGACACGGACCAGACUCCUACGGGAGGCAGCAGUGAGGAAUAUUGGUCAAUGGACGCAAGUCUGAACCAGCCAUGCCGCGUGCAGGAUGACGGUCCUAUGGAUUGUAAACUGCUUUUAUACAGGAAGAAACACUCCCUCGUGAGGGAACUUGACGGUACUGUAGGAAUAAGGAUCGGCUAACUCCGUGCCAGCCGCCGCCGUAAGAC